rnacentral:lncRNA from 1 species
AAUGACUUUGACCUGAGGCAGAAGACAACCUCCAGGGGUGAAGGCAGAAUAAAGUAGUAAAGGGGACAUUUGUUGGAAUUCAGCCCUUGCUUUUCUCCACUAUCAUCUUGAGGCAGAUACCAUAAAUAAAGACCCCAGAAAAAUAAAUGCGCAUUAAUUGAUCUCUAGCAUUUGCUUUCCAUCCCUUCUUCUCUACCCAGGGCUGGCAAAUCAUGAUCUAAGGAAUGUCCAAUGGGGAAGUGAAGAGAAAAUCCUAGUCUGUAGCUCCAUUUUAUAGGCUGAGGAGCCAGUGACUGGUUUUCUGAUGCUUGGGUUUCUCCAUUGUAGGGCCAAUAGGAUAAAAGUGAUAAAAUAUUUGAGAAGUAUAACUGUUUAAAAGAGGGGAAAAAGGGCAUAUCAGGCUAUAGACUUCCAUUAGGAGCAGACACAUUAAAAAGAUUAAUUAAGACUAUAAAAAUACCAGACUAACACCAUGUUCUAAAAGUUAUUAGGCAGAGAUAAGCCAUAAAUCCUUGAACAAAAAACAUAAGAAAAGACCAAACGUAAAUUAUUAGGCAUAAUUUUCUUUUUCUUUCUUUUUUUUUUUUUUUUGGUCUUUUUGCCUUUUUAGGGCCACACUCGUGGCAUGUGGAGGUUCCCAGGCUAGGGGUCUAAUCAGAGCUAUAGCUGCUGGCCUACACCAGAGCCACAGCAAUGCUAGAUCAGAGCCAUGUCUGCAACCUACACCACAACUCACUCACGGCAAUAGCAGAUCCUUAACCCACUGAGCGAGGCCAGGGAUUGAACCUGCAACCUUGUGGCUCCUAGUCAGAUUUGUUUCCACUGUGCCAUGACAGGAACUCCAGGAAUAAUUUUCUUGGAUGAAUGAACUGAAUAUAUGAAUUAAUACUGAAAAUAUAAAAAUGAAAAAUGAAUUGGAAGUCUAGACGGCAAAAAUCUUCUAGAAAAUGAGUUAUAGGACUUUUUUCUGUACAGAGCCAGAAAGUAGAUUUUGUAGGCCACAAAUGGCCUUUGUCAUAUAUAUUAUACCUCAUUUUAUUGUGCUUUGCAUUGUUUUUUUACAAAACCAAGUUUUGUGGCAACCCUAAAUUGAGCAAGUUUAUCGGCACCAUUUUGUCCUACAGCAUUUGCUCAUUUCUGUUUCUGUGUCACAUUUUGGCAAUUCACACAAUAUUUUAAGCUUUUCCAUUAUUAUUAUUUCUAUUAUGAUCUGUAAUCAGUGGUUUUUGGUGUUAUUAUUGUAAUUGUUUUUGGGUAGUAUGCACUGCAUCCCUAUAAGAUAGGGAACUUAAUGCGUAAAGGUUACAUGUGUUCUGAGUGCUCCACUCACUGGCCACAUCGCAUCUCUCUCCCUCUCCUUAGACCUUUCUAUUCUCUGAGACACAACAAUAUUGAAAUUAAGCCAUUUAAUAACCCUACAGUAGCCUCUAAGUGUUCAAGUGAAAGGUAGAAUCAUAUGACUCUCACCUUAAAUCAAAAUCCAGAAAUAGAAGUAGGCAAGAUGGCAGAGGAGUAAGAGGUCGCCCUUACCUUCUCCCACAAACACAUCAAAAAACACAUCUACAAGUAAAAUAACUCACACAUAACAUCAGCUGAAUGCUGGCAGAAGAACUUAAACCUCGAAAAGGGGCAAGAAACUGUUGACAUAACAGGGUAGAACAAAAGAAAAGAAGAGUAAGAGAGAAAAGGAAUCAGGGCAGGACUAGCAUUCCUGAGAGGGAGCUGCGAAGGUAAAAAGGAACCCACAUCCUGGGAAGCCACCUAACUGCUCACACUGAAGAAAGAGAUCAGCUGAGUCAGAGAUACCUGAAAGUUGCUGAGAAAAGCGUGGCAGAUAGACCAAGAACAGUAAAGCAGAGUGAGAGCUGCACAGAUCAUCUGAACCACCAGCCUGGACACCACAGCUGAGAUGCUCCAGUGGGGGCUGGGCACUGAGACUUAGGCUCUGGAGGCCAGUCCUGGGGAGAAGACUGGGGCUGGCUCUGUUGGGACAGCCUGAGGGGCUAAGGAGCAGUGUGCUAUGGGCGGGGAGUGGUACACCACAGGCUGAGGAAGGGAACACCACAGUAGAAGGAACCAGGGGAAAGGUCCAGACCCACAGGAGAGGCAAGGUGCCACUGUUGGGGUGGGCAAGAGGAGGAGAGGCAGACUGCCAUAGGAAACUCCCUGUGCCAGAGUGUGCACAUGCCUGCGGCUCUCAGAGGGUGGGGUGGCUCUGGUGCAGGCUACAGGCAGCAAAAAGCCUCUUGCUUGUUUAGGGGCGACUGGGCAUUUCUUGUGCAGGCUAUGAGUGGCCAAGCACCUCUUGUGUGGGCUAAGGGCAUCAGGGGGCUAAGUGCAACAUGGUGCCUCUUGCACAUCUACAGGUGGCAGGGACAGACAGCGGUGGUCAUCUUAGAGGCCAGAUGGAGGCAUGGCUUGCCACCACUGGGGACCUAUGAUGGGCUUCACCUGUGACUCCAAUCACCUCAGGGAUUGACAAAAAAGAAAAAUGAGGGCACUGCAACUAAGCACCAUACACUUGCUCUUACUCCCCUGGGAAUACACCUGCCCUCCAGCUACCACUGCCAAACACUCUGGGCGGCACCCAGACACUUGGUCACUGUCCCUUCCCAAGACCCUACAACUAGGAGCAGCACCUCCUGCAUGGGCUAAGUGGGACAGGGUGCUUCUUGUGUGUCUGCAGGCGGUGGGGGCAAACUGCCUCAGUUAUGCCUGAUUCCAGAGGUGGGCAUGGCCCACCACCACUGGGGGACCUGAACAAAAAUCACUUGCAGCUCCAACUACCUCAGAGGGCACUACAGAGGACAUCGUGAUGGAAAACCACCUGUUGCUCUCACUCCCUUGGGAGCACACCUGACCCUCUGCUACCAUUGCCAAACACUCUGGGCAGUGCCCAGAUGCUUGAUCACUGUCCCUUCCCAGGAAACUGCAACUAGGAGCAGCUUGUGCAGCACCUCCUGUGGGGGCUAACCAGGACAAGGUGCUUCUAGCAUAGUCUACAGGAGGCAGGUGCAAACCACUGCAGUUAUCUCUGGAUCCAGAGGUGGGAGUGGCUCACCACCACUAGGGGUCUGUGAACGGACACCACUUGCAGCCCCAUUCACCUCAAAGGCACCACAGAAGAGGGCAUUGUGACCAAACACCACCUAUUGGUGCUCUCAAACCCCAGGGAACACACCCCUGUUGCUGCCACUGCAAAACAUUCCAGGCAGUACCCACACGCCAAUUUUCUGCCACUUUCCAGGAUCCUGCAACUAGCAGCAGCCUGUACAGCACCUCCUAUGUGGGCUAAGUGAUACAUCUUUCUUCAUGUAAGGUCUACAGGUGGUGUGGGCAAACCACUGCAGUUAUCACUGACUCUAGAGAGAGACAUGGCCCACUCUCACUAGGGGUCCCUGAACAGGCACCACCUCUGGUUCCAAUCACCUCAGAGGAGGGCAUUUCAAUUGAACACUAGCUAUUGUUACUCUCACUCCCCUGGGAAAUAACUGCCAAAUGCUCUGGUCACCUUAAAGAUAUGCCUAGAACUUAUUAUCACUUCCUAGGGCCCUGCAACUAGGAGCAGCCUGUGCUAUAUUCCUGCAGGUCCUUGCUGCUGUUGAGAGCCCAAUGACAAGGCAUUGAUUACUGGCCCUACCCAUUGCUCCUUCUCCUGAAAACACAUUGAGUAUCCUGGGGAUAACAGCCUGCUCACACUGAAGAAAGAGGCAGCAAAGACUCAAACUCCCACACCAAAAAUAAUAGUAACCCCCCCAAAAUACAAAGGGGUAUUCUUGCAUAGAAAUACCUUAUAAGACUACAGUUUGGCUUCCCAAAUUCACAAAAAGAAAAACACAAGCAACAUGAAGAAGCUCGAAACCAUUCCCAGUUAAAGCAACAGGAGAAUCACCUAAAGCAGUCAACAAUGAAACAGACCUCUGCAGUCUGACAGACAUUGAGUUCAAAAGGAAAUGGUGAAAAUACUGAAGGAAUUAAGAGAGGAUAUGAACAGUAAUGCAGAUUCCCUCAGAAAGGAACUAGAAAAUAUAAGGAAGGGCCACGAAAAAUUAGAAAAUUCAUUUGCAGAGAUACAAACUGAGGUAAAGGCAAUAAAGACAGGAAUGAAUGAUACAGAGGAACAAGUUAGUGAUGUGGAAAACAGAAUAAUGGAAAUCACCCAAUCAGGACAGCAUUCAGAAAACCAAAUGAAAAAACAUGAAAGCAAUAUGAGACCUAUGGGAUAAUAGAUGCAGGCCAAUCUAUGCAUAAUAGGAAUUCAUAAGGAAAAGAUAAGAAAAGGGGAUUGAAAAUAUAUUUGAAGAAAUUGCGGCUGAAAACUUUCCAAAUCUAAAGGAUACUGACUUCAAGAUACAGGAAGCACCUAACAAGUUGAACCCAAACAGGCCCAAACCAAGAUAUACUAUAAUAAAAAUGGCAAAAGUUAAAGAUAAAGAGAGGAUUCUAAAGGCAACUAGAGAAAAGCAAAGCAUUAAUUAUAAGAGAUCCCCCAUAAGGCUAUCAGCUGAUUUCUCUACAGAAACACUACAGGCCAGGAGAGAGUGGCAAGAUAUAUUUAAAGCACUAAAAGGGAAAAAUCUGCAACCUAGAAAACUCUACCCAGCAAGAAUAUCAUUUUAAAUGAAGGGGAAAUAAAGAAUUUCUCCAAGAAACAAAAGCAAAAAGAGUAUAGAAACACUAAACUCAUUCUAAAAGAAAUACUGAAAAGACGUCUCUAAAUUAAAAAAAAAAAAGAACAAAAGAAAAACAAUUAGGAUGGAGGAAACCACAAUUGGAAAGCAGUCAAUUAAAUAAGCCAGCAUACAAAUCUAAACAUAAAGAUUAAAAAAAAAAAGACAUCAAAAUCAUACAAUGUAGGGAUGGAAAGUAAGAAAAAAUAGAUUUUUUUUUAAUUUUAAUGAAGUGUUUGAGCCCAUAUGAGUAUCAGGCUAAAGCAAGCAGAUAUUAGGAAGGUGUUAACAUACUUAAAAAACAGGGCAACCACAAAUCAAAUCUGCACACUACAUUCACAAAAACUGAAAAGCACACAGGCAUAAAAUAAAUGGAAACCAUCC